rnacentral:lncRNA from 1 species
AUCCACAUUUUCUGCUUUCUUCUCAUCUGUUCCCGGCACCUCUACAGCUUCUAUUUCGUCAACAUCUUUUUUUCUAAUCUUCUCAUCCAUUUCAACUUGGCUUACCAUGACCUCUUCAGCUUCCACUUGAUCUACUGCUGGUGCCACAUCCUCAUUUUCAGUUACCUGCUCUACCUCUCCCCGGCUUACACCUAUCAAGUCUUCAGUCUCCCUCUGAAUUACAGUAUCCCCCAUGGGAACUGCGCCAUCUUCCCUCUGACCCACUGCUGGAAUUAUAUCAUCUCUUCUUGUCGCCUGGUCCACCUCUUCUUGACUUGCUCUUAAUAAGCCUUCAACUUCCCUCUGGCUAACUGUCAGUCCUGCAUCGCCCUCUGCUUCUUCAGUCUUGUCUUGAUCCAUGGAUAAAAUGACAUCCUCUGCUUUCUUCUCUUCUGUUCCUGGUGUCUCCAUGGCUUCCACCUCAUCCACAUCCUUUUUUUUAAUUUCCUCCUCCACUUCUCCUUGACUUACCCUGGCCUCUUCAACUUCAUCUACAUCUCUCUUUUCUUUACUCAGAUCUUCUAAGACGGCCUCAACUUCUACCUGAUCUACUGCUGGUGACAUACCCUCAUUUCCAGUUAUCUGCUCCAUCUCUCCUUGGUUUAUGUUACCAAGCCUUCAAUCUCCCUCUGACUUACUGUUGAUACCACAUCUUUUUCUGUAGUCUUGCUCUCUGUCUCCUGCUGAUCUGCUUCUGACACAGUUUUGAUCUGAUCCACUCCAGAUGCCACA